GUAGUGCCCGGAUGGUGUGACGCGAAAUGUAUUGUCUUCGGUCAUGAUCGGUCGCGGUUGAUUUGAACGCCAGUCAGUUGGAGUGUGAACUGCGUAGAAGAUCACCAGAACACUUUCUCCGAUUUCAAACAUAAAAUGCCUUCGAUAUUUCGGUAAUCAGGUCAAAAUUGCUGCAGCAGAAGGUAGGGCGAGCGGUGAUGUACCAUGAGGCCGGCCUAUGAGAUGUGGUAGCGAGAAUGGUUGGUGUCGGUCUGCACAAGGACGAGGACGCAGUGCUAAGUUUGAACCGAUAGAAUGACCAAUUGCAUUCCAAGCGACUGACUCGCGGCAUCAUUCCAUCGAUGUAACAAGUCCCCUAUCCUACUUCUCCAACCAACGGGACGAGGCCGCCAUGGAGACGAAAGUUAACUGUGGAUCAAGGGCACUCAUAUAUCAGGAUGAAUACGUGUAACAGUUUUAAAUGCCCUUGGAUAGAGUGUUCCGGGAAAGAAUGAUUGAUUUGCGCUUGAAGGUCAAGAGUCUCAGUAGACCCAUACCUUAGCCUCACAACAGAGCCUUCUGUCACCGGAGUUAGAGCCUGCUGAACAAUCUUUUGUAGAACAUCUCUCAAAAAUGUUUGUAUAUCGACAGAUCAAGACACCAUUGUGUCAGUAAGAUGAACAUUUGAAUUUGACCUGAACAUAUCAUAUAAAGAAUGGAAAGUUUCACAAAUGAGGUUGUUGUUUGUACAUUUUUAUCAUAAGGCCCCGUUCAUGAUCCAUGACAACAUUUGACAAUGGAGACAAUUUUCAUUUGAGAUAGAACACCCUCGUCGACCAUUGCGACAUUUGCGGUCGGGUUCACAUACGAUUCACAUUGUCACGAUGUCGUGUUUCUCAUGUCACUGGCCUAAUAUAAUCCUACAAGGUGGCGCACUUUGGAAUAAACUGAUCAGUUCAAGGCAGCCUAACAUGUCAUAUGAGUUGUCCGUCCCAUUCAUAAACUACACAAACUUGAUUUUUAUU